AUCAUAUCGACAUCCAGAUGUAAGAAUAUCAAAAAAAAAUUUAUUAUGAGUCCCAGAAAUAGUGCAUCUUACAACACAUUAUCUAGACCAUUCAUUUUCAAGAUUUUAAUAUGUUUAUAGAUCUACUUGAUUUUAAGCAUUUUUAGUGUUUAAAAUUUUAUAAUUAGAUAUAAAAAUACGUUGUUAGAUAAUCCUAAGCCAAAAUUACAUAUUAUAAUAAAUUUUGGAGGUGUGCAUUAUUUGAAUUGUUUAAGGUCGCAACCUCGUAGAAACCACACCCUAUAUAAAAAGAGCUAAAGGAUUAUUUGAUUACCAAAAGGCG
rnacentral:lncRNA from 1 species